UCCCGCUUCUUAUUUCCCACUACUCCACGACCAUACUCCAAGCUUCCAAAGGCAAAAACAGAAGUUACAGAACUGUGUAUCUCCUCCCUUUUCUUCCCCUCUUUCUCUUCCUGAGGUGAAUCCGUGUGUAACUCCUCCGUUUCCUUCCUCUCUUUCUGUUCCUGAGGUGAAUCCAAGUGUUACAAGUCUACAACUGUGUUCUUCGAUGUUUCUUCUUCACGGAAAUCACCAGGUCAAUAUUUUUUUUUCUGUGCAUUUAAAGAUAAAUUGAGCGCUACAACCCUAAAUUAAUUCAUUUUAUUAUUUUUCUAAAAAUUACAAUCUGGGAUGUUGGUGGAUCGGAGGUGAGGUCGUCUCCGACGCUUCUCUGGGCGAGAUCAUGAGAGCUCUGGUUUAGAUCUCUUCUUACACCGUCUCGGCCCUCGGCAUCGCCAUUUCCAUUGUUUUGUUGCAGGGGAAUUUAUAUUACAGGGAAUAGUUUGAUCAGUGCGGCAAUCAAAGCUCCUACAAUCACCCUCAAAAAUCUCAUCAGGCCUGGUCAGGCGAUGAUGUUAUGGAUACGUCUCUAUGUUAACAACAUCUUGGCUGAAUCUUGUGAUGAUCUGGAAGGUCUGAACAAGGAUUUGAGAAAAAUGUUCGUUCUACAUCUGAUGGAACUAAAAGUUUUGUAUAAAUAUCUCUCAAUGAUCCUGGAACUCACAGGAGCUUGCAUAUAUUAUUCACAUUGGAGGAUGGACUGGUGAUUGAAACAAUUAUUUUCCCUUGUGAUAGAGGAAGAAAUGCAGUGUGCGUUUCAAGUCAAGUAGAUUGUGCCAUGAAUUGUCAGUUUUGCUUCAAUGGAAGUUAAGCUUCAAUCAAGAUUAGUUCACAAGUAAUUUUGGCGAUUGUUCACAAAAGAUGUUGGGUCAAUUUCCAAUGUUGUCUUCAUGGAACAAUGGGUCAAGAACAUCGUCCUAAAUUGUGCGAGGAGCGCCAUUUGAAGUAUGAUCGAGCAUUCGAGUUAACCCUAUAUGAACUCCUUAGACUACUAGUAUUAGUUAUUUAGUUUAUUCCAAACUUUUAGUUUCUAUGGCACAAUAUUUUUUUUAUAGAUGAUUAUAUAUAUAUAAAUAUAUAUAUGCAUACGAUGUUAGAGUGACAUUUAUGUAUCAAUUUUAUUUUGUUUGGAUAAAUAUGUACUUUUUAUUCAAAAUUGUUUCUUAUGUCAA